CCUACGGGGGGCAGCAGUGGGGAAUAUUGGACAAUGGGCGAAAGCCUGAUCCAGCCAUGCCGCGUGUGUGAAGAAGGCCUUCGGGUUGUAAAGCACUUUCAGUGGGGAAGAAAGCCUUGGGGCUAAUACCCUCGAGGAAGGACAUCACCCACAGAAGAAGCACCGGCUAACUCCGUGCCAGCAGCCGCGGUAAUACGGAGGGUGCGAGCGUUAAUCGGAAUUACUGGGCGUAAAGCGCGCGUAGGCGGUCUGAUAAGCCGGUUGUGAAAGCCCCGGGCUCAACCUGGGAACGGCAUCCGGAAAUGUCAGGCUAAAGUGCAGGAGAGGAAGGUAGAAUUCCCGGUGUAGCGGUGAAAUGCGUAGAGAUCGGGAGGAAUACCAGUGGCGAAGGCGGCCUUCUGGACUGACACUGACGCUGAGGUGCGAAAGCGUGGGUAGCAAACAGGAUUAGAUACCCUAGUAGUC
rnacentral:rRNA from 1 species